GAUCCUGCAGUACGCGCGGUCCUCUUCACAUUCGAAUUCUCCGAAACUUCUCGUGCCUAUUUUCUCUCCGCUUUCUCUCUUUCUCUCUCCUUUCUCUCUCUUCUCCUCCUUUCUCCUUUUUUUCUCCUCUUCAUUCCGAUUGCAAAGUUUCGCCCUCGCCUCGACGAACUAUUUCAAAAAUUCCGUCGUUAUCGAGCCACUGAAGCACAGCCUCCGCUUCUUGAGUAUCAAAACUACUCGUGGCCCAACUAUAGUUGCCCUUUGGCAGGCUCCCGCGGACGGGAUCCUCGCGGUAAGCCCCCGUCAGCACGCGGCGGACGGCUUCGCCGUGUUUUUCCUAAGAAAGUACACGCGCGAGAGAAAAAGAGAUCAAGGGAAAGAGCGAGAAAAAUCUUCCCCUUCCCCCUCUUCGGUCUCUCGCUGCUCGUGCCUCUCUCCCCUUGUUCGCCCGGCAGAGUUUACACACGCGACCCUCUCCGGCCUCUCUGGCGAAGCCAGUUCCGUUCGAGACACCGCGCCUGUCGGUCGUCUCAUCCGCUCUCUCUGGCUUACCUGCGCAACCCUCUCUCUUUCCCUCCUGGGUUUUACCUGGCCAAGACUCUAACGCGUGCUAUAAUACACUUCGCGGAAACCCUCUUCGGGGACGUUGCGAACCAAAAGAAUAUGAACUUCGACGUGCAAACAUUAGGCCACCCUUACGAAAGAGCACGUAAACGUUGUCUGACUGUGUGAAAAAAUACAAGGUGCGUGCACAACUCCCUUUAGUUGAAACACCAACAGAUCGAGACUCGAGCGAUAAGAAAACUUUGUACCGGAAUUAAGUAAUGAAAAAAGAAGUUUAGGUGAUUGAGAUAUUGACGGAAAAUAACGAGCCGCCAGAACUUUGGGUUCAUUUGUGUCGAAAUACAGUUUCGAUGCUCCGGUGUGUGCGUGCGUGAGUGUUUUUAAUCCAAAUUACGAGUACUUUUAUUCGAAGGGCUUAUACGAGAAACAAGCACGUUUUAUGCUCGGUCGUUGUCGACAGUCUAUAGUGUUCGGUCACGUGGAUUAAGGCCACACGCGGGCUUUGCACAAUAUAUACAUGUGUCUCCAUAUGCAUACAUGAAUUUAUUUGUGUACACAUGGCUUGUAGAGUACAGCAGUGAUCGGCGAAGAGAGCGAGAGAGAGAGGGAGAGAGAUUUCAACCUACUACUGUUCGGGUAGUGGUCAACCUACGACACAGUGCGGUUACAUCGUGAUGGUUCAUCACCCCCUUCAACUUCAAGCUCCUGCUCGUAGUUCUGCAUCCCUUGUCCUGUCCUCAUCCCAUUCCUGUCAGAUACCAACGUUUCACUAGCUACCAUCAUUAACGGAGCUAUUUCACCGCUGGAACUGAUAGCUCUGUGUCAUUACACCGAUUCCCUCGAUCCGUAGAGGCUAGACGAGAUUCACCGUCUUACAGGGAGCUCAAUUGAAGGCGACGUUCGUGACGACCCGAGGAAACCUCAUUCAAUCAACAAUCACGAAUGUCUCUCUGAGCCUAUUUUCCUGUCAUUAAAAAAUACGAGCCUUCGAGACGUCUCCUUAAGGGAUGAAGAAUGCGAGGCAUUUUUCCAACGAUACACGAAACGCCGGGGAAUAAAUUGACGACAGUUUUCAUUGUGAUUCGUUUUAUUUCGGGGUUAUUCAUUUUUUAACCGGUGAAAUUAACUAUUAAAAGGAGGAAUUAUUUUCCCUAUGGACACACGUUGCAUCGACGCUUAAACGAGAGUCGAUGUUCUCGAGCCGGAGACACGUCAAUCGCACACUCUACCAUUGGACCAUAACUACGGGCGUAUAUCGGGAGACUGUGCGGGUACCAACGCUAGAUCACGUGACCACCGAAAAUUUUGUUUAUACCCGAUGCGGGCAAACCUUGGCGAAACAAUGGGCCUGAACGUUUAGAUACGUGUUCAUGAGAAAUUUUAUGUAAUAUAUAUGGUCACGGACACAUAAUGAAUCAAUGAAAAGAUACUUGUAAAUGAUUUAUACUUACGUGCUUCAAAAAUGAUGCGAACAACAG
rnacentral:misc_RNA from 1 species